GCGCAUGACUGUUAAUCAUGAUGUCGUAGGUUCGAGUCCUACUGGCGGAG
rnacentral:tRNA from 1 species